GACACCCUGCCUUCCUCCUCCUCCUCCUCGGGCUCAAGCUGAGCCAAGCCACGGAUGUGCCCCCAGCCAGACUGCAGAGGGGAGGUGCCCCGCCUGGGGGACCCAGGAGCCCCUGUCUCCUGGACCCCCCACCUGUGGGCUACUGCCUCCCCUCCUGCCGGGGGCUCAGGGCCUUCUGGGUAGCAGGUGCAGUCUGAAAGCCGGUACACAGCGAGCUCGUGUCCCUGGGGGAGGGGAGGGUUUGCUGGUAUUAAAAAUCCUUAUUGUUCAAAAGUAAUUGAGAGAAAAGAGGCAGCGCGAUUUUGUAGGGGCAGAGAGAGGGAAGGAAAAAGAGAAAAAGAGACACGGAGAAAGAGAGACAAAGAGGGUAGAGACAGAGAUACAGAGACACAGAGAAAGAGAGAGACAGAGACACAGAGAAAGAGCCAGACAGACAGCGUGCCCACAAGGGCCAGCACCUCUUAGGGCGCUCCAGUUUCAGGGCCUUAGCCAUGCUGAGGAGGCGGAGGGCAUUUCUGUGCUUCUUAAACUAAUGAAAUCUUAUACUAAUGAAAUCCCAGCCCUUGGCCCCGUCCCAGGCCCAAAUUGGAAAAACAAAGCUGCCCUUUUUGGCUUCCCCAGCCCCGCCACACCCGCCAGUGGCCGCCUGGCUCGUCUUUGGGGUAGAGGCCAGUCCGGGCCUUAUCUCUCUCUUGGCAGCCGAGCCUGAGGCUGAGAGCAGCCCUGUGGCAGCCUCCCCGGGCCAGGAGCAGCUCGUUCUCCCCGGGCCAGGAGCGGCUCAGGGGCCAGAAGCGCAAGAUCUCCCCAUCUUUAGCUAAGCAUCCCUGGGAAGGAGCAGUGUGCAGAGGGCGCCUUCGCCUGAGGGCAGACCCUGGUCUUGGAUGCCCUCCUGUCCCCCCCAUAGAGAGCUCCUCAGGGCCCCAGGCCUUCUGAUGAGAGGAAUUGGGGAAGCCCAACAACAACCGCUCCCAGAAGCGGCGCCCCAGGGCUGGGUCCUGCCUCAACCCCCCAAAACAGCUCCUGGAUCCCGUCUUACCCACCAGCUCCAGCGGCCUUUCUUUGCUUCCCAUCCCUGACGUGAGGAGAGGGAAGAAGGGAACUGGAGACAAAGGAAAGGAGGAAGAAAGAAGAAAAGCAGCAAGUGAGGAAGCAAAGGGGAAAGCAGAGGGGGCGAGAGGAACAUGGAAAGGGGGGCAAAGUUCCUGUGGGAUGUGGGAAAUGUGGUGGGAAGCCAGGCUUCCUGCAGGGAGGAGCAGAGCGAAGGCCCCAGGCCCCGAGAAGGAGCGAGGAAGACACCUUUAUGCCCUCUGGAAACCAGCCUUGGCCGAAGCUGAGUGAGCGGACCCCUCGCCCCUUCUAAGUGCCUCCAAAAAGGGGAGGCAGAUUGGGAUACUUCCACUUCCUUGAGAAGGAGCAUUCCUUCAUGCUUGGGUUCGAAUCCCACUUCAGCCCUCCGCAGCUCCUUGCCUCAGUUUCUUUAUCUGUAACAUCAGACCGGACCCGACAUCCUCUAGAAGCCAAGGGACCAUCCUUGGAAGACCAUCCCGGGAGGAUCAUUCUGGGAGGACCAUCCCGGGAGGAUCAUCCUGGGAGGAUCAUUCUGGGAGGACCAUCCCGGGAAGACGUCUGGAGCGGAAGUCAAAGGGCCUGGUUGCGAAUGAGAGUUCAACCACCUCAGCUUCGCCGCGACUCAGUUUUCUUAUGUGACAAAUGGGGGAUGGGAUCUGCAAGCUCCCCGAGGCCUUUUUCUAGCUCCGGCUCCUAAAUUUCACCCGGGGCUUCCCCUUUAUUGUAGAAUAAAGAGCAAACGUUUGCAGAAA